rnacentral:lncRNA from 1 species
GUCACGUCAUCCAGUGGGAGGAUCGGACCCAAAUGUCUGAUAUAUAGCAGUGCUCUGUCUGCAUGGCUGCAAAGUGAGUCCAGUUGUCUUUCGGGUUAAUUGUCAUUAUACGGCAGGAGAACAUCUCCAGAAUGAAACUGGCACUGCUGCUAAUGCUGGCCAUGCUGGCAGUGUUCUGCCAUCCCGCUUCACCUUGUGAACUCCUCCAGAAAGUAAUGGAAAGGUUUCUCUUUGGGUCUGUUGAUGAGUUUAUGGAUGCAGUAUCUCCAUUCAUCACAACGCCUGCUAUGAAUGCAAUGGAAAUCAGUUUGAAGAAGUG